ensembl:snRNA U4 U4 spliceosomal RNA
AGCUUUGUGCAGUGGCAGUAUUGUAGCCAAUGAGGUUUAUCCGAGGCACGAUUAUUGCUAAUUGAAAACUUUUCUCAACUGAGUAUAGGAAGAGAGAACUUGAGAUUUGAACCCAAAAGGAAUUACUGCAAAAGCAGCUUGUU